rnacentral:rRNA from 1 species
GGCUUAGAGUUUGAUCAUGGCUCAGGAUGAACGCUGGCGGCGUGCCUAACACAUGCAAGUCGAGCGAAGCGGUUUCGAUGAAGUUUUCGGAUGGAUUCGGAAUUGACUGAGCGGCGGACGGGUGAGUAACGCGUGGGUAACCUGCCUCAUACAGGGGGAUAACAGUUAGAAAUGACUGCUAAUACCGCAUAAGCGCACAGGACUGCAUGGUCCAGUGUGAAAAACUCCGGUGGUAUGAGAUGGACCCGCGUCUGAUUAGCUGGUUGGUGGGGUAACGGCCUACCAAGGCGACGAUCAGUAGCCGACCUGAGAGGGUGACCGGCCACAUUGGGACUGAGACACGGCCCAAACUCCUACGGGAGGCAGCAGUGGGGAAUAUUGCACAAUGGGGGAAACCCUGAUGCAGCGACGCCGCGUGAGUGAAGAAGUAUUUCGGUAUGUAAAGCUCUAUCAGCAGGGAAGAAAAUGACGGUACCUGACUAAGAAGCCCCGGCUAACUACGUGCCAGCAGCCGCGGUAAUACGUAGGGGGCAAGCGUUAUCCGGAUUUACUGGGUGUAAAGGGAGCGUAGACGGCGCGGCAAGUCUGAAGUGAAAGCCCGGGGCUUAACCCCGGGACUGCUUUGGAAACUGCCAUGCUGGAGUGCUGGAGAGGUAAGUG